UGGGUUUUGUGGGUCUUAAUAGGUGUCGUUCCAAAUACCACCUGGCAUUUAAAACAAAAGCCAAAUAUCUUUUUGAAAAUAGCCACGGAUGAUAUCCGAUUCCCUUUUCUACAAAAUCCACCUUCUCUCUCAAAGAUCUCAUUCUUUUGAACAGCAACCAAAAUUCAACAAACAUAACACAACAAGAACAUGCAAGGAACCAUGAAGCUACAUCAAAGAAAAGAUGGAUCGAAAAUGGAACUAACCGAUUGCAGCUGGAUCGACCAACGAACGCGCUGAUUAGGGUUUCGGUUGGUGUAUAAAGGUUCAAAGGAGAAAGCUUUCAGAAGUGCUUUUUCAUGCUCAGAAGUGCUUUUAUCUUGUUUGAUGCUAUCUUCCGGAAAGUGAAAUUUGGUGAAAACUUGAUGAGCUCUUAAUUCUUUCAAUGGCGAUUUCGGCCUCAACGGUAAUUCCUUAGUAGCCUCAGCUCUGGUACAUCUACUGUAAAACCGUUG